UUGCACCUGGCCCACAGGACCUUUUUCUAGAGCAAUAAAGAGGAAAUGAGAGUCCUCUUUCCACCUGGAUGGCUAAUUAGGCUGCAACCUUAGGACCAUCCUUCCAUCCCUUUGGGAGAGACUGAGAAUGAAGAUAAUGCAGUGGAGACUAGGGGCAGCCAAGGGAGACUAGAGCCAUCUAUGUCUGAAUCCACCUUCUUGGGUCCGUCCUUUCUUUCUUUCUUUUCUU
rnacentral:lncRNA from 1 species